rnacentral:rRNA from 1 species
AUUGAACGCUGGCGGCAUGCCUUACACAUGCAAGUCGAACGGCAGCGGACCUUCGGGUGCCGGCGAGUGGCGAACGGGUGAGUAAUAUAUCGGAACGUACCUUUCAGUGGGGGAUAACGUAGCGAAAGUUACGCUAAUACCGCAUAUUCUGUGAGCAGGAAAGCAGGGGAUCGCAAGACCUUGCGCUGAUUGAGCGGCCGAUAUCAGAUUAGCUAGUUGGUGAGGUAAAGGCUCACCAAGGCGACGAUCUGUAGCGGGUCUGAGAGGAUGAUCCGCCACACUGGAACUGAGACACGGUCCAGACUCCUACGGGAGGCGGCAGUGGGGAAUUUUGGACAAUGGGCGCAAGCCUGAUCCAGCCAUGCCGCGUGUGUAAAGAAGGCC